rnacentral:rRNA from 1 species
UAACCUUCGGGAGGGCGCUUGCCACGGUGUGGUCAAUGACUGGGGUGAAGUCGUAACAAGGUAGCCGUAGGGGAACCUGCGGCUGGAUCACCUCCUUAAAA